UACAGAGGGGGCAAGCGUUAUCCGGAAUUAUUGGGCGUAAAGGGCGCGUAGGCGGCUUGGCAAGUGAGGGGUGAAAGCCCUCGGCUUAACCGAGGAACUGCCUGUCAGACUGUUAGACUUGAGUCCGGGAGAGGUGAGUGGAAUUCCCAGUGUAGCGGUGAAAUGCGUAGAUAUUGGGAGGAACACCAGUGGCGAAGGCGGCUCACUGGACCGGUACUGACGCUGAGGCGCGAAAGCGUGGGGAGCAAACAGG
rnacentral:rRNA from 1 species